GGGUUGUGAGGUUAAGCGACUAAGCGUACACGGUGGAUGCCCUGGCAGUCAGAGGCGAUGAAGGGCGUGCUAAUCUGCGAUAAGCGCCGGUAAGGUGAUAUGAACCGUUAUAACCGGCGAUACCCGAAUGGGGAAACCCAGUGUGAUUCGUCACACUAUCAUUAACUGAAUCCAUAGGUUAAUGAGGCGAACCGGGGGAACUGAAACAUCUAAGUACCCCGAGGAAAAGAAAUCAACCGAGAUUCCCCCAGUAGCGGCGAGCGAACGGGGAGGAGCCCAGAGCCUGAAUCAGCAUGUGUGUUAGUGGAAGCGUCUGGAAAGGCGCGCGAUACAGGGUGACAGCCCCGUACACAAAAGCGCAUGUGCUGUGAGCUCGAUGAGUAGGGCGGGACACGUGGUAUCCUGUCUGAAUAUGGGGGGACCAUCCUCCAAGGCUAAAUACUCCUGACUGACCGAUAGUGAACCAGUACCGUGAGGGAAAGGCGAAAAGAACCCCGGGAGGGGAGUGAAAAAGAACCUGAAACCGUGUACGUACAAGCAGUGGGAGCCCCACCACCAAAGCAUUCUCUGGUGUUGAAGGCCCUGCAAAGCAGCAUCGCGGUGGCGGAGCGUCGUUUGCGACGCCCAACACACAAAACAAGCGGUGAAUGCUUUGGGGUGGGGUGACUGCGUACCU
rnacentral:rRNA from 1 species